GACGAACGCUGGCGGCGUGCUUAACACAUGCAAGUCGAACGGAAAGGCCCUGCUUUUGUGGGGUGCUCGAGUGGCGAACGGGUGAGUAACACGUGAGUAACCUGCCCUUGACUUUGGGAUAACUUCAGGAAACUGGGGCUAAUACCGGAUAGGAGCUCCUGCUGCAUGGUGGGGGUUGGAAAGUUUCGGCGGUUGGGGAUGGACUCGCGGCUUAUCAGCUUGUUGGUGGGGUAGUGGCUUACCAAGGCUUUGACGGGUAGCCGGCCUGAGAGGGUGACCGGCCACAUUGGGACUGAGAUACGGCCCAGACUCCUACGGGAGGCAGCAGUGGGGAAUAUUGCGCAAUGGGCGGAAGCCUGAUGCAGCAACGCCGCGUGCGGGAUGACGGCCUUCGGGUUGUAAACCGCUUUCGCCUGUGCCGAAGCGUGAGUGACGGUAAUGGGUAAAGAAGCACCGGCUAACUACGUG
rnacentral:rRNA from 1 species